GACGUAGGGACCAAGCGUUGUCCGGAGUUACUGGGCGUAAAGCGCGCGCGGGUGGCCGCAUUAGCCUGGCGUGAAAGCCCCCGGCUCAACCGGGGAGAGUCGUCGGGGACGGUGCGGCUUGAGGACGACAGGGGUCGGUGGAAUGCCCGGUGUAGUGGUGAAAUGCGUAGAGAUCGGGCGGAACACCCGUGGCGAAGGCGGCCGGCUGGGUCGGACCUGACACUGAGGCGCGAAGGCGUGGGGAGCGAACGGG
rnacentral:rRNA from 1 species